rnacentral:tmRNA from 1 species
GGGGGCGACCGGUUUUCGACGGGAUGGUUGAAGCUCCGGUUGCGCGCCGAGGACCCCGGUUGGCCUCGUUAAUCAUCCGGGACAAAACACAAGUGCCAACGAGGAAUUGGCUCUCGCUGCCUGAUUGACAGCGACGUUCCGUUGCCGACGCCUGCUGGGCGGCGGGGCGCAAAAAGCAGGCUGGCGGAUCGGCCGGGCGACCGGGCCGGGCCGCGAGAAACUCCCGUGGACGCUGGUUGCGAGCGAAGCCUGUCUGUCGGCGGCGCCCGCGGCGAGAUCCAGUUGACAGAACACGCGCGUAGACGCCUGGGCAACGCCAUCGCGGACGGGGGUUCGAUUCCCCCCGCCUCCACCA